rnacentral:rRNA from 1 species
UACAGAGGUGGCAAGCGUUGUUCGGAAUUACUGGGCGUAAAGGGCGAGUAGGUGGCCAUCUAAGUCAGACGUGAAAUCCCCCGGCUUAACCUGGGAACUGCGUCUGAUACUGGACGGCUUGAGUAUGGGAGAGGGAUGUAGAAUUCCAGGUGUAGCGGUGAAAUGCGUAGAUAUCUGGAGGAAUACCGGUGGCGAAGGCGGGUCUCUGGGCCGAUACUGACGCUGAGGAGCGAAAGCGUGGGGAGCGAACAGG